rnacentral:rRNA from 1 species
UACAGAGGUGGCAAGCGUUGUUCGGAAUUACUGGGCGUAAAGGGCGCGUAGGCGGCCUUGUAAGUCCUGUGUGAAAUCCCUCGGCUCAACUGAGGAACUGCACGGGAAACUACCUGGCUUGAGUUCGGGAGAGGGAAGCGGAAUUCCGGGUGUAGCGGUGAAAUGCGUAGAUAUCCGGAGGAACACCGGUGGCGAAGGCGGCUUCCUGGACCGACACUGACGCUGAGGCGCGAAAGCUAGGGGAGCAAACGGG